GUUGGGUUAAGUCCCGUAACGAGCGCAACCCUUGUCCUUAGUUACCAGCACGUUAUGGUGGGCACUCUAAGGAGACUGCCGGUGGACAAACCGGAGGAAGGUGGGGAUGACGUCAAGUCAUCAUGGCCCUUACGGCCUGGGCUACACACGUGCUACAAUGGUCGGUACAAAGGGUUGCCAAGCCGCGAGGUGGAGCUAAUCCCAUAAAACCGAUCGUAGUCCGGAUCGCAGUCUGCAGCUCGACUGCGUGAAGUCGGAAUCGCUAGUAAUCGUGAAUCAGAAUGUCACGGUGAAUACGUUCCCGGGCCUU
rnacentral:rRNA from 1 species